rnacentral:rRNA from 1 species
GACGAACGCUGGCGGCGUGCCUAAUACAUGCAAGUCGAACGCAGAGGGGACGGGUGAGUAACACGUGGGUAACCUCCCUUCAGAGGGGUUAACACUUGGAAACUGGUGCUAAACCGAUACUGAUGGAUGAACCCGCGGUGCAUUAGCUCGGUGGUGUGGUAACGGCUCACCAAGGCCACGAUGCAUAGCGGACCUGAGCGGGUAGUCGGCCACACCGGAACGGAGCCACGGCCCAGACUCCAACGGUAGGCAGCGGUACGGUAUCUUCGGCAAGGGACUAAAGUCUGACCGAGCCACGCCGCGUAGGUGAAGAAAUUAAUCGGAUCGUAAUACUCUGUUGUUAGAGUAGCGGUAUCUAACCAAAAAGCCACGGCUAACUACGUGCCAGCCGCCGCGGUAAUAC